AAGUCAAAACCUAAAGAAAACG
rnacentral:miRNA from 1 species